GACGAACGCUGACGGUGUGCUUUAGACAUGCAAGUCGAACGAGAAAGCCCUUCGGGUUAGUAAAGUGGCGAACGGGUGAGUAACACGUGGGCAAUCUGCCCCUCGCAGGGGGACAACCGGAGGAAACUCCGGCUAAUACCCCGUAAGUUCAAAGGGAGGCAUCUCUCUUCGAAGAAAGGUAGCUUCGGCCAUCCGGCGAGGGAUGAGCCCGCGGUGCAUUAGCUAGUUGGGUGGGGUAACGGCCUACCAAGGCGACGAUGCAUAGCUGGUCUGAGAGGAUGAUCAGCCACACUGGGACUGAGACACGGCCCAGACUCCUACGGGAGGCAGCAGUCGGGAAUCUUGCGCAAUGGGCGAAAGCCUGACGCAGCAACACCGUGUGUGUGAGGAAGGCCUUAGGG
rnacentral:rRNA from 1 species